ACGGAGGGUGCAAGCGUUAAUCGGAAUUACUGGGCGUAAAGCGCGCGUAGGCGGCUUGAUAAGUGAGAUGUGAAAGCCCAGGGCUUAACCUUGGAACUGCAUCUCAUACUGUCAGGCUAGAGUACGAGAGAGGGGGGUAGAAUUCCUAGUGUAGCGGUGAAAUGCGUAGAUAUUAGGAGGAAUACCAGUGGCGAAGGCGGCCCCCUGGCUCGAUACUGACGCUAAGGUGCGAAAGCGUGGGGAGCAAACAGG
rnacentral:rRNA from 1 species